CCCCUACAAAUGGUAUCAGAGCCCAGUAAGAUAAAAAGUAGAACAGUGAGAUAUAUGUUAGAUAUGUUAGAAUUUUAUCUAUGUUUAUUGAAUUAAUUAUGAGAAGACCAUUUAAAAAUAGAGAAGCUUUUAGAAAAAUUAAAGAUUCUUUAAUUAGUAAUUAUUCAGAGUAUACAAGUCUAAAUAAAACAAAAGAAAACCC
rnacentral:lncRNA from 1 species